GCGUACAAGUACCGUGAGGGAAAGAUGCAAAGUCGCGCGAAAGCGCUGUCAAAGAGUACCUGAAAUUGCUGAAAGGGAAGCGAAGGAAACCAGUGUUAGGUGUGUCAUAUUUCUUGACGUGCUUGCAUGUUGAGCGCUGUGGCACCCAUGUUGUCCAAUGGGUUUGGCUGGGUCUGAACUUCAGACUUGGCUGUAUUCAUUUGGUCGAAAUGGUUUUCUUUACCCCGUCUUGAAACACGGACCAAGGAGUCUAACAUAUGUGCGAGUAUAGGAGUGUUAAACUCCCAUGCGUAAUGAAAGUGACAGUGGUUGGACCUUUGUGGCACAAUCCGCCGGCCUCAAUCC
rnacentral:rRNA from 1 species